rnacentral:rRNA from 1 species
UACAGAGGGGCAAGCGUUGUCCGGAUUUACUGGGCGUACAGCGCGCGCAGGCGGUCGUGUAUGUGAGCGGUGACAUCCGCGGGCUCAACCCGCGGCGGCCCGCUUACACAGCGCGACUGGAGGCAGGGAGAGGGAUGUGGAAUACCCGGUGGAGCGGUGAAAUGCGUAGAGAUCGGGUGGAACACCAGCGGCGAAGGCGGCAUCCUGGCCCUGUGACUGACGCUGAGGCGCGAUAGCGUGGGGAGCAAACGGG